rnacentral:rRNA from 1 species
GACGAACGCUGGCGGCGUGCUUAACACGUGCAAGUCGAACGGAAAGGCCCUGCUUUUGUGGGGUGCUCGAGUGGCGAACGGGAGAGUAACACGUGAGUAACCUGCCCUUGACUUUGGGAUAACUUCAGGAAACUGGGGCUAAUACCGGAUAGGAGCUCCUGCUGCAUGGUGGGGGUUGGAAAGUUUCGGCGGUUGGGGAUGGACUCGCGGCUUAUCAGCUUGUUGGUGGGGUAGUGGCUUACCAAGGCUUUGACGGGUAGCCGGCCUGGGAGGGUGACCGGCCACAUUGGGACUGCGGUACGGCCCAGUCUCCUACGGGAGGCAGCAGUGGGGAAUAUUGCACAAUGGGCGGAAGCCUGAUGCAGCAACGCCGCGUGCGGGAUGACGGCCUUCGGGUUGUGAACCGCUUUCGCCUGUGACGAAGCGUGAGUGACGGUAAUGGGUAAAGAAGCACCGGCUAACUACGUG